CAUGUUUUCAAUUGUAGGUGCCAAAUGUGACAUUAUAAUGACCCAGUCUCCAGCCUCCCUGUCUAAAUCUCAAGGAGAAACAGUCACCAUCUGGUGCCAGGCCAGUCAGGGUAUUGGCAAUGAAUUAAACUGGUACCAGCAGAAACCAGGGCAAGCUACUAAGCUCCUGGUCUAUGGUGCCAACUGUUUGCAAUCUGGGGUCCCCUCAAGGUUCAGUGGCAGUGGAUCUGGGACAGAUUAUUCUCUCACAAUCAGUAGCCUGGAGCCUGAAGAUAUUGCCACUUAUUACUGUCUAUAAGAUUACAGUUUCCCUUCCACAGUGACACAGGCCAUGACAAAAAC
rnacentral:lncRNA from 1 species